UAGAUGCGAGAGUAGAGCAUAUCAAUAAGCGGAGGAAAAGAAACUAACAAGGAUUCCCUUAGUAACGGCGAGUGAACGGGAAGAGCUCAAAUUUGAAAUCUUCAAGGUUCUACCUUGACGAAUUGUAGUUUAAAGAAGUGUUUUCUGUUAGAUGAGUAGCAAAAGUUCCUUGGAAUGGGACAUCAUAGAGGGUGAGAAUCCCGUAUUUGGUUAUUCAUUCUAGCUUUGUGAUACACUUUCAAAGAGUCGGAUUGUUUGGGAAUGCAGUCCAAAAUGGGUGGUAAAUUUCAUCUAAAGCUAAAUAUUGGCGAGAGACCGAUAGCGAACAAGUACCGUGAGGGAAAGAUGAAAAGAACUUUGAAAAGAGAGUUAAACAGUACGUGAAAUUGUCAAAAGGGAAGCGUUUGACACCAGUGUUGUUUUUCCGAAAAUCAAUUACGAAUGGCUUGAUUUUGUGUUGUAUUGACCUUAUCAGCUUUCUUCACUUUUUUCGAGUCUUUCUUAAUGCACUUUUCGGUUAACAAGUCAACAUCAAUUUCUUUUGUUGUAAAAGAGUAUUCGGAAGGUGGCUUUCUUUUCGGAGAAAGUGUUUAUAGCCCUAUACUUCUACAAUCGGAGAGAUUGAGGUCUGCAGCGUAGAUCCUUCGGGGUUAGAUACACUUGUGCUAAGUUGUAGCUUUUCAUAGACAACUUGUUGACUAUGUUUAGUCAUGCGGCUUACUCGCUUAUGCUAUUUUACCUACGCUUAGGAUGUUGAGCGCAUGUCUCUCUCU
rnacentral:rRNA from 1 species